rnacentral:rRNA from 1 species
UGAGGAAUAUUGGGCAAUGCCCGAAAGGGUGACCCAGCAACGCCGCGUGGAGGAUGAAGGUCGUAAGAUUGUAAACUCCUGUUAGAGGGGAAGAAUAACUAAGUUUGGAGCUUAGUAUGACUGUACCCUCAGAGAAAGCCCCGGCUAACUACGUGCCAGCAGCCGCGGUAAUACGUAGGGGGCAAGCGUUGUGCGGAUUUACUGGGUGUAAAGGGCGCGCAGGCGGAAUGGAAAGUCAGUGGUGAAAUCCUACAGCUUAACUGUAGAACUGCCUUUGAUACUUUCAUUCUUGAGUUCGGGAGAGAGAGACGGAAUUCCAGGUGUAGUGGUGAAAUACGUAGAUAUCUGUAAGAACACCAGUUGCGAAGGCGGUCUCUUGGUCCGAUACUGACGCUGAGGCGCGAAAGCGUGGGGAGCAAACA